UACGGGAGGCAGCAGUGGGGAAUAUUGGACAAUGGGGGAAACCCUGAUCCAGCGACGCCGCGUGAGUGAAGAAGUAUUUCGGUAUGUAAAGCUCUAUCAGCAGGGAAGAAAAUGACGGUACCUGACUAAGAAGCCCCGGCUAACUACGUGCCAGCAGCCGCGGUAAU
rnacentral:rRNA from 1 species